CAGAGUGUGUGUGUUUGUAUAGUGUGUGUAUAUAAUGCAGUGUGUUUGUGUAGUGUGCAUGAUAUAAACACACUGCAUUAUAUACACACACUACACAAACACACUG